GUGCAACUGUACAUUGAAGUUUUUAAAGAAAACCAAACUGACCACUAAAGGUAGUGUUAGUGAUCCCUGUAGAUACACACAAGGACUGCUGUGCACCUGUUAAAAAUGGGUUAUAUGGUACCGACAAGCUGUGCCAGCCUCAGGAACCCAGGCAUCCACUCAUGGCAUUGGUGUUGUUCUCUCUACCUGGCACUCUGUCAUCUGAUUUUCUCACCUGAAGGUUCUGCCUAACUUUCCAUAGAAACCAGUGAGAGCCCUUCAAGGACUACUGUGUCCCAAAGGAGAAACCUUUCCCUCAGAAUUUCUAGAGCUGGAAGAACUUCUAACUCCUGAAUCGUCGUGCCUGGAUGCAUGUGACAGUGCCCAAUGAUGGUAGGAAGCUGGUCCAUGGUAAGAAAUCUACAGCCCAGGACCUCAGGCU
rnacentral:lncRNA from 1 species